GAUGAACGCUGGCGGCGUGCCUAAUACAUGCAAGUCGAGCGAACAGACGAGGAGCUUGCUCCUUUGACGUUAGCGGCGGACGGGUGAGUAACACGUGGGUAACCUACCUAUAAGACUGGGAUAACUUCGGGAAACCGGAGCUAAUACCGGAUAAUAUUUCGAACCGCAUGGUUCGAUAGUGAAAGAUGGCUUUGCUUUCACUUAUAGAUGGACCUGGGCCGUAUUAGCUGGUUGGUAAGGUAACGGCUUACCAAGGCAACGAACCGUAGCCGACCUGGAAGGGUGAUCGGCAAAAUUGGAACGGGAACAGGGUCAAGAGUCCUAGGGAAGGAACCAGAGGGGAAUCUCCCGAAAUGGGGGAAAGCCUGACGGAGAAAGGCGGAGUGGGUGAUAAAGGUCUCGGGUUCGAAAAACUCUGUUAUUGGGGAGAAACAAACGUGUAAGUAAAAGCGCACGAAGUGACGGUACCUAAUCAGAAAGCCACGGCUAACUACGUG
rnacentral:rRNA from 1 species